ACGUCUGAGCCUCCAGCCAGGAACUAGAUAUGAGUUCAAGGUGAAGGCCAGGAACACCAGGAUCAGAACAACGAGGGGCCGUUCACACGGGUCGAGUCACAGGACACAAAAUCUGCUCCAAACCAGACAGAUGCCUCAGAGUCAUCACUUGGAGGUGGACUUGGUGUGGGGCUAGGGAUAUGCAUCAUCAUUAUCAUAGUGUUGGUGGCAGCGCUGUUCUAUCGUAGAAGACCUCACCUAUUGUCAACACGUGAUCGAGGUAAAACUGUUGCUCAGAUCCAAGAGUGAGACACGGGGAGCGAACAAUUGAUAAUAAUGAAAACUCAGAUAUCCAGGACCUUAGUCAGUAUGCCUGGUUUGAGGAGUGUGUCUCACAGCCAUAUUCCCAGUUGAAGAUCUAUGAAAACACAAAAGGUCGUGUGACACAUGAGCCGGAGUAUGAAGGUCUACAGGAAAGGUCGCCAGCCACCUACGAAACUGUGGCGUUACAUACGUACGAAAACAUUGACAGGAAAGUAAAAGAUCCGACGUACGCCAAUGUGCAAUCAACAAGAUGAAACAAACUGAAUAAGGCAAGCAAAGAUGAAAGGAUAACUUUGCAGACAGUGUUCACUUAAGUCAGGCGUCCAUAUAUUACAUCAUUAGCACGUUUUAAUAUUUCUCCUGAAAUCAUCUUCAGGAACUGAAGUCUCUCUUGAAACAUCUCUCUGAGUACAACCCGUUACACACAGAUUAUGAUCCACUACAAUAUUGCAACUUUGUGUGCAUACUUUCUCAUAGGAUUUGAUUCAGAAACAUGUUGUUGUACAAAGUGCUUUGGUACAAACUUUAAAGAAUGGAGAAUAUUGUUCCAAACAGACUUCAAUGUACAUGUAUUCCAUAUAUAUUGUAUAGACCUCCAUAUACAAUCACUAGAUUAAGGACAACAACAGUGAUAUUGGUAUGUGGGGCAUUAUUUGCCAAGUCUCUUCCUGGGUGAAGCUGCUUCCCAAUAUUCCUUGUUUCAAGUUAAGAGAACACAUUACUGAGUGAAUGAGUGAUUUUAGUUUUAAGCCACACUCAGCAAUAUUUCAGCUAUAUGGCGUAGAACACAUUGCUGAAUACAAGGCAUAUAGCGUCAAUCAAACUUUCUAUAUUUUCAAGUUUGAAUUACCGUAAAUGCCUAGUGGAAACAUACACAUUGAUUUACAUGGUGCAAUUAGAACUACACAUGUACAUAUUUUCGCACUGCGUCCCCAAAUAUCUUAGCAAUAUCAUCAGCUAUAAACUGAUGAAAUCAUUACACACACAGCGUAUCAAAGAAACAUGAUUUAUUACCACAUGAAUCAGUAAAGAACUCAAGCCGAAUGAUAUGUAAUGAAGAUGUACAGUUAUUGUACUCUGCAAAUAACACACAGACACACACACACAGACACACACACAAACACACAGACAUACCAAAGGAUUAAGUUUAAUGUAAAACUCCGUUCCUGCUGUAUUGUUUACACAUAUAUUCUGUCGUUUUGUGCAUGCUGAAUCUCAUUUUGCUACUUUACACCAACCAAGUAACUGUUUGUAGGGUCUGCGUACGUCGUGAAUUAUUAUUUCAAAUCCUUUUGAAAGAAUGUACACAUCAAUCAAACUGGCACAGGUUUUAACGUCGGUAAAACUUUCGUGUAAGUGUUGUAAAACAUGAGCAGGUGUUGUUUACCUCCAGGAGAUAGGUAAUACAUAACAAUACAUUGAUAGGUCAAAAUCUAUCCCCAGAAUAGCAUAAUGUCACUGUAGGUUAAAAAACAAACGAAAAGAAUCAGUGGAAUUGAUAUUCAGUUGAAUGGCACCAUCCGUUGAAGUAUAUCCUUUACAUAAAGGAAUAACGGUGCUUUUGGUUUUGGACCUAGCCCCGUCAAACACCUAUGUUGUCGUGUGUGUGGAUGAUCCGACUCAAGGCUUAAACUGACGGAUCUUCGAGUGCAUAGCUGUAAUUUAACAUUCAGUCAAAGCAGGGGUAAUGUCUGUUACCACAUUUACUCCCCGAACCUGUUUCAGGAAUGAUGAUAUUACAUCUACACUGGAUCAUUGACCAGUAUCAGUAGUUUAUUUACUUGAACAUGAAUUCAUUGCUUGAAUUUAUUUUGAUUGAGGACCUUGACAUACGAUUCCGUUUAUAUCAGUUCAUGCUCCUUAGCUUCAAGGUAAUUUUAGAUACCGGCACAAAGGACGGACAGGUCAACGUGGGACUGUUAUCUUAUAAUAGUUGCAUGUCGUCAGGGCGCCAACUGUGCCAGACCCUGAUGUUUUCCUUUGCUGACUUUAGUGUCACUAUUUACAUAUUACUUAUAAAAUAUGUAAAUCUGUCUAGACAUUUGUAAACGUAUACACGGGAGAGUAGCUGCAUGACUUCUUAUCAACCAAGCCAUGUUCAUGCAUUUUUCAGUCUUCUUGAUGACAACUGUAAAUAACAGGGUAUCAUGCGCCACAUAUUGGUGUCUUACAGGUGUGUGUUAGUGUUUGACGAGGAUGACUUACUCCUCUAGUUAUAGGAAGGGGUAGCCGGAGUGGUGUGGCACAAAUACGAAAGGGAAAUUGUCUUUGCCAGGAGCUUGACAUACCUCUCAAAUGGAGCAUGUAAAUACCACCCUCACACACCAUACACCCACGCACACGAUACAAUGGAUCUAUUUCUCAGUAAUGUGGCACUUUGUACCCCUUUUUGAGUUAUCUCAUCCCAUAAUAUAUGCAUUGUGUAUU